GAUGAACGCUGGCGGCGUGCCUAAUACAUGCAAGUCGAGCGAACGGACGAGAAGCUUGCUUUUCUGAUGUUAGCGGCGGACGGGUGAGUAACACGUGGAUAACCUACCUAUAAGACUGGGAUAACUUCGGGAAACCGGAGCUAAUACCGGAUAAUAUUUUGAACCGCAUGGUUCAAAAGUGAAAGACGGUCUUGCUGUCACUUAUAGAUGGAUCCGCGCUGCAUUAGCUAGUUGGUAAGGUAACGGCUUACCAAGGCAACGAUGCAUAGCCGACCUGAGAGGGUGAUCGGCCACACUGGAACUGAGACACGGUCAAGACUCCUACGGGAGGCAGCAGUAGGGAAUCUUCCGCAAUGGGCGAAAGCCUGACGGAGCAACGCCGCGUGAGUGAUGAAGGUCUUCGGAUCGUAAAACUCUGUUAUUAGGGAAGAACAUAUGUGUAAGUAACUGUGCACAUCUUGACGGUACCUAAUCAGAAAGCCACGGCUAACUACGUG
rnacentral:rRNA from 1 species